rnacentral:rRNA from 1 species
AUUGAACGCUGGCGGCAGGCUUAACACAUGCAAGUCGAGCGGAGAUGAGGUGCUUGCACCUUAUCUUAGCGGCGGACGGGUGAGUAAUGCUUAGGAAUCUGCCUAUUAGUGGGGGACAACAUUCCGAAAGGAAUGCUAAUACCGCAUACGCCCCACGGGGGAAAGCAGGGGAUCUUCGGACCUUGCGCUAAUAGAUGAGCCUAAGUCGGACUAGCUAGUUGGUGGGGUAAAGGCCUACCAAGGCGACGAUCUGUAGCGGGUCUGAGAGGAUGAUCCGCCACACUGGGACUGAGACACGGCCCAGACUCCUACGGGAGGCAGCAGUGGGGAAUAUUGGACAAUGGGCGGAAGCCUGAUCCAGCCAUGCCGCGUGUGUGAAGAAGGCCUUUUGGUUGUAAAGCACUUUAAGCGAGGAGGAGGCUACCUGGAUUAAUACUCUAGGAUAGUGGACGUUACUCGCAGAAUAAGCACCGGCUAACUCUGUGCCAGCCGCCGCGGUAAGAC